rnacentral:rRNA from 1 species
AGCAGCCGCGGUAAUUCCAGCUCCAAUAGCGUAUAUUAAAGUUGUUGCAGUUAAAAAGCUCGUAGUUGAAUUUCGGGAUCAAGGAAUCGGUCAUGCCUCGGUAUGUACUGGUUUUAUUGGUUCUCACCUUCUAAAGAACCAUAAUGUCAUUCAUUUGAUGUUAUGGGGAAUUAGGACUGUUACCUUGAAAAAUUAGAGUGUUUAAAGCAGGCUUACGCUUGAAUACAUUAGCGUGGAAUAAUGAAAUAGGACAUCAGAUUCUAUUUUGUUGGUUUCUAGGAUCGAUGUAAUGAUUAAUAGGGAUAGUUGGGGGCAUUAGUAUUCAAUUGUCAGAGGUGAAAUUCUUGGAUUUAUUGAAGACUAACUACUGCGAAAGCAUUUGCCAAGGAUGUUUUCAUUAAUUCAAGAACGAAAGUUAGGGGAUCGAAGACGAUCAGAUACCGUCGUAGUCUUAACCAUAAACUAUGCCGACUAGGGAUCGGAUGAUGUUAAUUUUUUAAUGUACUCA